rnacentral:tRNA from 1 species
UCUGGGGAUGUAGCUCAAUGGUGGAGCACUUGCCUACCAUCUGCAAGGGCCUGGGUUCAAUCCCCAAUACCAGAA